UGGGGAAUCUUGCGCAAUGGGCGAAAGCCUGACGCAGCGACGCCGCGUGGAGGAUGAGGCCCUUCGGGGUGUAAACUCCUGUUGCCCGGGACGAACGCCCGCUUCGGAGCGGGGUGACGGUACCGGGUGAGGAAGCACCGGCUAACUCUGUGCCAGCAGCCGCGGUAAUACAGAGGGUGCGAGCGUUGUCCGGAAUUACUGGGCGUAAAGGGCGCGUAGGCGGCCCGGUGCGCGUGCCGUGAAAGCCCUGGGCUCAACCCCGGGUCGGCGGUGCGGACGGCCGGGCUGGAGCACAUCAGAGGCAGGCGGAAUUCCGGGUGUAGCGGUGGAAUGCGUAGAGAUCCGGAAGAACACCGGUGGCGAAGGCGGCCUGCUGGGGUGUGGCUGACGCUGAGGCGCGACAGCGUGGGGAGCAAACA
rnacentral:rRNA from 1 species